rnacentral:rRNA from 2 species
UUGCCCUAGUAACGGCGAGUGAAGCGGCAACAGCUCAAAUUUGAAAUCUGGCUCUUUCAGAGUCCGAGUUGUAAUUUGCAGAGGGCGCUUUGGCUUUGGCAGCGGUCCAAGUUCCUUGGAACAGGACGUCACAGAGGGUGAGAAUCCCGUACGUGGUCGCUAGCUAUUGCCGUGUAAAGCCCCUUCGACGAGUCGAGUUGUUUGGGAAUGCAGCUCUAAAUGGGAGGUAAAUUUCUUCUAAAGCUAAAUAUUGGCCAGAGACCGAUAGCGCACAAGUAGAGUGAUCGAAAGAUGAAAAGCACUUUGGAAAGAGAGUCAAACAGCACGUGAAAUUGUUGAAAGGGAAGCGCUUGCAGCCAGACUUGCUUGCAGUUGCUCAUCCGGGCUUUUGCCCGGUGCACUCUUCUGUAGGCAGGCCAGCAUCAGUUUGGGCGGUGGGAUAAAGGUCUCUGUCACGUACCUUCCUUCGGGUUGGCCUUAUAGGGGAGACGCCAUACCACCAGCCUGGACUGAGGUCCGCGCAUCUGCUAGGAUGCUGGCG